GAUGAACGCUGGCGGCGUGCCUAAUACAUGCAAGUCGAGCGAACAGACGAGGAGCUUGCUCCUCUGACGUUAGCGGCGGACGUGUGAGUAACACGUGGAUAACCUACCUAUAAGACUGGGAUAACUUCGGGAAACCGGAGCUAAUACCGGAUAAUAUAUUGAACCGCAUGGUUCAAUAGUGAAAGACGGUUUUGCUGUCACUUAUAGAUGGAUCUCCGCCGCAUUAGCUAGUUGGUAAGGUAACGGCUUACCAAGGCAACGAUGCGUAGCCGACCUGAGAGAGGGAUCGCCCACCCGGGAACGGAGACGGGCUCAAGAGUACUAAGGGAGGGACCAGAAGGCAACCGGAGGCAACGGGGGAGAGUAUUGCGGAACAGGGCGGAGUGAGAGAUGACGGUGUCGGGUGCGUAAAAAUUUGUUUUGGGGGAAAAACAAAUGUCGAAUUAAACAAAGCGUGAGUGACGGUAACUAAUAAAAAAGCACCGGCUAACUACGUG
rnacentral:rRNA from 1 species